GAGUUUGAUCCUGGCUCAGAAUGAACGCUGGCGGCAGGCUUAACACAUGCAAGUCGAACGGGGUUAUAUUAUAGCUUGCUAUAGUAUAACUUAGUGGCAGACGGGUGAGUAAUGUAUAGGAAUCUACCUAGUAGUACGGAAUAAUUGUUGGAAACGGCAACUAAUACCGUAUACGCCCUACGGGGGAAAGAUUUAUCGCUAUUAGAUGAGCCUAUAUUAGAUUAGCUAGUUGGUAAGGUAAUGGCUUACCAAGGCAAUGAUCUAUAGCUGAUCUGAGAGGAUGAUCAGCCACACUGGAACUGAGAUACGGUCCAGACUCCUACGGGA
rnacentral:rRNA from 1 species